GGUAUGUAUUCAAAGCAAUAGGACAGUGACUGUUUUCAAAGCCAUAGGACAGUGACUAAGACACAGACUGUGCAGACAGCCUAAACGGGCUACACUGCAGCCCGUAGACUAUGCAUGGCUGACAGUUAGCAAGGGCACUGGGUCCUCAGUCCUGCAAUCACAGAAGCUCAAGUCAGUCAUAACCCAAAUGACCCCAAAAGCCAGCUCCUUCCCAGUACCUUAGAUAAGGGCCUGUGACUUCAGCCUUCUGAGACUCUAAGCAGAGAAUUCAUUUGAACCUACCUGUCGCCUCCGCUUUUGACUGGGAAACAGUAAGUGGGUGUGACUUAAGCCACCAGCUCCGAGGUUCUAGGAAGUGAGCCCACAAAAGGCCUGGCAUUUAUCUUGCUUGGUUUCUGCCUCCCCUGGCAGACCACAUCUCUACCUUACCGGUAAGGAGCAGUUCAGCACAGUGUUUCUUUCUUUUGCAAUUUUUUAGAUCCUCAGAGACCUUGUAUGCUCUGAGUGAGUUCCCACCUGCCACUGAGGGUCCAUUGUCUCUAGUUUUUAACUUCACCCCAGGACCAGUGAUAACAGAGGAUUGUGAAUCUCAAUAAUAAUUUACCUGGUACGUCCCAGCAAAGAGCUAAUAGCUUCUACAUCAUCUCCCACGAUCAUGAAUACUACGAUGACUCCCAUUCAGAUGAAAAAACUGAGACCUAUCACGUUAAGACACUAGUGUAAUUUACUGCGAGUUGUUUGAUCCAGGACUUGGGUGACUGAGAUUUAACAGUCACGUAGUUUCUCCUUCCCUCUUUUCGUACUUUUCAAAGAUUUUUGUCUACCAACUGCAUUUAUGAAGUAAUAAUUUGUUUUCCCAUUUUUUAUUAAUCAAAAGCCAUGUAUGACUGACAAUCAGGGGUUCCGAUCAGCACGAGAUUAGUGGCUUUAUCACACUGAGUUGAUGUAAUUCCAGCCAAAAGCAGAGAAAUGAAGUCUCAGUUAGUAGUCUGUGCAGCUUUAUCUCUGCUAAAUGUGUCAUUUCUGCUAGGCAUACAGAAAUGUUAAAAUAGCUCGCAAGUCGCCAUUACUCCCUGGGGACACCGGUAGGGGUCUGAGGACCAAAGAUCUGAACCACAGCUUCCAUCGUCCAGAUCCUCAUUAUCUGUCCUGUUCCAGUGUCAGCACCUGUGACCUGCCUUUGUGCCUUUCUGCCACAGAGAGGGACUGAAUAGCAGCCUCCGGGCCAGAGAAAGCAGCGUCACACCCUCUCUCUACACAUAGGUGUGCAAGUCCGUGUACCCACGUCCACACCAUACAUGCAAGAAUGCAAACAUAUACAAACGAUCAUCCUUGAACAUCAACCUCCUGCCUAACAGGUAUAGCUCAGUUUGCAUGUAGGGCAAAGGUUUCUAAUCUCACGUUGCUAUAGUUACAAAGUGUUGUGAGCUUAGGCAAGUGAGGGGGGGUUGUUCUUCACACCUGAGUAUAUGUGUCUGAAUUCUGUUUCUCCGACCUUAGUACAAUGGGCCUCUAUGUAUUAGUCAUUCAUUGAAAAUAUAUUUAAUAGCUAUAUAUGGCAGGCGGUGUGAAGGACUCAGGAUUUCCAAUAAACAAAGGUGUAUAAAGAUUUCUGCUCUCGUGGUGCUUACAACCAGAGGGAGCCAGGCUAGUCAAUGAUCAUGAACUGGAAUAAAUAUGGAGCUGUGACUAUGCAAGGGGCUGGGCAUGUGAGCUGGAGUGCUCACAGCCUAGGGACCUAUGAGGAGUUAGUGGGAGUGGAGGGAGUGGAGGGUGCUCAGCAGGGCACUUCACAGCUGGAAGGAGUCAAGGCUGGGGAUAUGGAGCAUAGUAGCUGGGUCAAACUCAGGAAUAGCUCCACAUCUAAGUGAUGGGCCCUGCUUGAGGAGCAGGAUGAUGCACUGCUCUGUCAGGGCCUCAGAGCACUGGUCAGGGUAGGUACAGGAUUCAAGGAGCCUGGAUAAGAGAGAUACUUAGAAAUCUAGCCCCUCCUAUACCUUGUCCUCCAUGAACUCUGCUUCCUUGGCAAUACUGACUCCCAUCCACAGACAAGGAUAUGCUAGGAUGACUGACAGUGUAGUGAUUACCAGACAGCUCGGAGUUAUUGAGCACUUACUACAUGCCAAAGAACCCGAUAUGCCUUAUUUCAUUGUUCUCAUGCUGAAUCUUAGAAGUUGUCAUGUCUUCCUCUCACUCGAGUGCUCUUAGAAACAAAGCCUUUAGGAUAGCAGGUCACAGCUGCAGUAGGUGGUGUGAAAAUAGGAUCUCUGGCUCCGAUCGCACUUGCCCCUGACUCCUGGGUCAAAGAUGCAACAGGUGGUGUGAAUAGCAUCUCUGGCUCCAAUCGCACUCGCCCCUGACUCCUCCCAUCUUACCAGAGGGAGUAAAGAGCAAUGGAGAAGAACCAAGAGAUCACAGAAUGGAGACAUAGGAAACGGGGGCAUUCAAGGGACGAAACGGGAGAAGGCAGAGGCAAGGCCCUCCAUGUUAAAAGGCUUUGAACUCAAGCCAGCAAACCAUGGUCACACCUCCUUUCAGUCUUUCCUCCAGGGCUGCCGAGCAACAGGGAGAGCUGGAAAUGAAGCUCCCACCUUCCCGCUGGUUCUGUGGGGCCGGCAGUGCCUCCCCACCCUAUCUGCAAGGCCAUAAAUAAUCGAGAUGUAUUACUUGGGGAUUGCCAUGGUAACAUCUUCAGGUUACCAGGGAUGUGAGAUCCAAACAAAAGUAUUCGAUUAAAUAUUUCUGGCCACUAGAGGAAUGCAGCCAUGUAGCACUGGGAUGCAGGGGAGGAGGGGCAGGCAGGUUCCUUGCCUCUUUGUCCUUCCCCCUCAGAGAGCUAUAGUGCUGCUGGAGAGCUUUCUUCCUUCCUUCUUCCUUGUUCCCAAGCCCCUUCAUAUAGUCUAGAGAUACAGGCCGUAGCUCUAAUGUGAACCAGGAUCUUAAAGUCAGCCCUAAAAGAGAUGCUGCAGGCUUUCAAUAAACACAUCCUUUUCUAAUUGGCUUAGGAUUGAGUUGAGUCUCCAACUUCAAAAAGGCCUCCCAUCCAUCAUCCGUCUUAAAUGGAAUCAGCAGCCCUGAAAGCCUGUCCUCGCACAAGCUCUCCGCCCCUGCCAACACCAGGAGCACCAUGCAGACCUGCAAUUAUUGUCACAGGGAGAAGAAACAAGAGUGGGAUUGAUGUGGCCCCGGGAAAGUGCCGAGUGCAGCAGAGUUGAGGAGGUGUGAUUUAAAGUCAUGCAGGCAGGCCUCAGGGUGCCAGCCAGGAAGAGGAUAAAUCUCUCAGUAGCCAGAUGAGGAAACUGUAGCAGACUGACUGACUUCCCAGCCGUCAUUAUCAAGCAAGGCAUCCAGGGCCUAUUUCUGGAGGUGCCCUGGCUCUGAUGGCCUCUCCUUAAGAGGAAGCAGCCACCACAAGGAAAAUGAAGGAGCCAAGGAGGAUCCGCUCUACUUUCGUUCUUCCUGCUGAGAACCACAGACUGGGAGCCCACUUGGCCCCAUGAGGCAGCACAAUGCAGGGGAGAUGAACUUGAGUCACCGUGACAACUGUCCCUGAGGUGACUCAGGCAGCUACAUUGCCCCAGCAUGGGUAAUGACUCACCAAAGUGAUGACUGGUGACGAUGACGAUGCUGCUGCUGCUGUUAAUGAUGACGAUGACGACGAUGAUGAUGAUGGUGGUGGUGAUAUGUAUUAUGUUACUGUUGUGCUCUGUGAAACGUGUGGGUAGCUACACCACUUAAGCAUCUCCUCUCCCUUAGCAAUUGUUCAUAGCUUAUGGAACCCCUUGGAGGAUCCUGGAGAGUCUUGUUUUAUGAACACCUCGAGCCUAGAAGUUUCUUGUGAGUUUCAUAAGCCUCAUGAGCCUCCUCUCUCUUCCUGGAAGAAACUUUCCAUCCUGGGGAAGCAGAUAACCAUGUCCUGUCCGGAUCCUUUUGCAUGUGUUAAAAGGUCGGGGUUAUCUAGGCUGAGUUAGAAUACUUGAGGUUUGAGAUCAAGUGUUUGUUCUCUGUGUACCUCAGACAUUAGUUUUGGUGUGUAUGGACAUACGUAUUGCCCAGAUAGAUGAGGCUAUGCUAAUCCCUGUCAGGGCAAGGGUGCUCUAAUGGUGCUUUGUUUGAAGUUUGCCCUUGGUUACAGCUUGGUCUGGUUCCAUGGUUUUCACCAGUCC